CCCCCCCCCCAAUUUCUCCUCAGUGUUGAAAGAAUUGCAAAACUGAUUCUGAAGAAAAAUGUGGUUCACCGGGGGGGGGCUCAUAUUAUUACGAUUCUUGGGCAUCUCAGUUGAUUGAAGAAUAAUGUUGAAGGAUUUUGUAGAUGGAAAUUUCCAGUGUAAAUUUUAUACAUUUAUGAUGAACUAUCCAGGUGGACUCUGUAGUUCAGUUGGU